rnacentral:sRNA from 2 species
UCAACACACAGUUCCCAGGUUGACUAUUUUGAACGGGAAAAGGUCAAUUAUCGACUAUCGCCUCUUUGUAUGUUCAUAUUCUUACACAAGAGGUGCGGGCUCUUUUGCCUACUGGAUAACAUUUAGGGAAGUUCAAUCAACUACUCCCCCGCUAUUCAACGAAAGAGCCUUUCCUCUCCGACACGAAUUGAAUAAAAGGCGCAGUGUCUUCCUUGGUUAGAAAAACUCCCUGGAGUACGAUCGUUAAUUGCUCGAAAAGACCAUUCUUUCCGAAUUAUUUCAACAACCCUCACUCCAGAACGCUAGUGUCUCAAGCCAAAAUGUCUUCCCCUGAGAAAAAGAAUUAUUUUCAAGUUCUGCAAAGGUUUAAGCCAGAUUAUUCUCCCAACUACUUCACCCAGUAUGAAUCCGAGAGGACGGGGAUGAAGGUGGUGGUCAUUGACCAGAAAGGCCCAAAGGUUUCGGGGUAUUUUGUUCUUGCCACAGAGAUUCUUGAUGAUUCUGGUGCACCUCACACUUUAGAGCAUCUUUGCUUUAUGGGAUCUAGAAACUAUCAAUACAAAGGGUUCCUUGAUAAGCUUGCUACUAGAGCCUAUUCCCAUACAAAUGCCUGGACUUCUACAGACCACACCGCAUACACGUUGUAUACUGCGGGCUGGGCUGGAUUUGCACAAAUUCUGCCCGUCUACCUUGAGCAUAUCAUUGAUCCCACUUUAACGGAUGCCGGUUGCUAUACUGAAGUGUACCAUGUUGACGGUACGGGCAAUGAUGCAGGUGUGGUCUAUUCGGAAAUGCAGGGCGUACAGAAUAAAUCAUCUGAAUUGAUAGAUUUGAAAUGCCGACGCCUGCUGUAUCCGGAAGGCAUUGGCUUCCGUUACGAAACUGGUGGAAUGAUGGAACAACUCCGGGUUCUGACAGCCGAACGUAUCCGUGCAUUCCACAGGAAGAUGUAUCAGCCGAAAAACCUAUGCUUAAUCAUUACGGGAGAAGUUGACCACGACAACAUGUUGCAAAUUCUGAAUGUAUUUGAGAGCACGGUCCUUGACGUGAUCCCAAGCCCUAAUGACCCCUUCAGAAGACCCUGGAUGGAAUCGCAACCAAUACCCCCGCUAGAGAGGUCGAUUGUAGAGAAAGUUGAAUUCCCCGAAGCAGAUGAAUCUUUCGGCGAGAUUGAGAUUCGAUUUCUUGGUCCGGAUUGCAGUGAUACCCUCCUUAGUGAUGCGCUCGAUGUGGUUCUUCUCUAUCUUGCGGGUUCCUCCGCAACGAUCCUUGAAAACACCCUUGUGGAGAAAGAACAUCUCACAAGCGCUGUGUAUUACUCCACAUCCCAGACACCUCGAACCGAAAUCUCUUUCACCCUCACCAGUGUAGCCACCGAAAAGCUUGAGCAGGUCGAGCGGCGCUUCUUUGAGGUGUUAAAAGAGGCCAUGCAAAACGAGAUUGAUGUGGAAUAUAUGCAGGAGUGUGUGCGAAGGCAACGUCGGAGCUGGAAAUUCUCCACUGAGUCCUCGGUCUCCCCUUUUGCGCACUAUGUAAUCUGCGAUUUCUUGUUCGGCAAGCGGGAUGGCUCUACUCUUCGCCACGUUGCAAGUCUUCACGAGUACGAUGAGUUGGAAAAGUGGCACGACCACCAAUGGCGCGCUUUCAUCAAACAAUGGAUAUCCGAUGCCCCCCAUGUGUCAAUACUAGGAGUGCCGUCCUCCAAACUUGCCACCAAAUUGAAGGAGGACGAACAAUCCAGAAUCGCAGAACGGAAGAGAGCUCUUGGAGAGGAAGGCCUAAAAAAAUUAGCGGAAAAGUUGGAGGAGGCCAAGGCCGCAAACGACAAGCCUAUACCUCAGGGAGAACUGACCAAAUUCGAAAUUCCUGGGGUGGAAUCCAUUCCUUUCAUCAAGACAACAACAGCAAAAUCGGGACUUGCUCUUAGCACGGGUCGUCCUAAUAACCGAAUUCAACAACUAGUCGAUGCGGAUGCGCCGGAUUCGCCUUUGUUCAUUCAUUUUGAGCACGUCGCCAGCAACUUCAUCCAGAUCUUCCUGAAUAUCUCAACCACAUCUGUGCCAGCAGAACUGCGUCCGCUUCUAGCCGUAUACAUGCAAGCUUACUUCAACCUUCCUGUUCUUCGAAAUGGAGAAAAAGUUCCCUUUGAGCAAGUCAUUGUCGAACUGGAGCGGGACACAGUUUCCUACAAUAUGGACAUUGGGCAUCAUAACCCUGAGAUGCUCAUCAUUAGCUUCCAAGCGGAACCAGACAAGUAUGAUGCUAUCAUAUCCUACAUCACCGAACUUUCAUGGGAAUCUAUAUUUGACGUGGAGCGGUUGAAGGCCAUCACCACUCGGUUGCUCUCUGAUGUUCCAGAUGCUAAGCGUAAUGGGAGUCGUAUGGUAGAUGCGGUGCAAACGAUGGUCUCACACACCCAGGAGUCAAUUGUCCGUGCCAUGACACCUCUAACUAGAGCUUUAUAUCUGAAACGUACCAAACGCCAGCUUGAGCAAAACCCUGAAGUCGUUGUGGCCCGAAUGGAAAUCAUUAGGAAGCAGCUCUUCCGAUUCGAAAAUUUCCGAAUAUUUGUCAUCGCAGAUAUGGAUAAACUUCGCAACCCUUCAUCAGCGUGGGGGCCAUUCGUCAGUCGACUGGAUGUUACUCAGCCACUCAGUCCGAUCAUACAACUACGAGAUCGUCUGAAAGAUGUGGCCAAAAACCCGGGGACCAUGGCGCAUCUCGUUCCGAUGACGACCAUUGACUCCUCCUUUGUGCUCACCAGCGCCAAGGGUCUGGACUCCUACAACCAUCCCAAACUCCCGGCCCUCUUGGUGACCAUUGCCUAUAUGAAUGCGGUGGAAGGGCCACUGUGGGUAGCUAUCCGCGGCACGGGGCUGGCUUAUGGCUCUCGAUUCCUACACGACGUGGAUACCCCCCCAAUGUAUACAGGGCCUUUGAGGAGGGAAAGAAAAUUGUCGAAAACCAUUUGUCUGGGGCGGAACAAUUCGACCCACAUAUGGCCCUCGAGGGCGCCAUCAGCAGCAUCGUGCUUGAUUUCGUCAAUGAGGAGACAACGCAAGCUAGUACAGCACUGGCCAGUUUUGUCCGGCAGGUCAUCCGGGGAUUGCCCAGUGACUACCAGGAGAAGCUACUGCGGAAAGUUAGGGAGAUUGGUAUUGAGGAGAUCAAGGAGAUUCUAAGGGAUUUUGUCUUGCCCCUUUUUACGCCUGGCAAGUCUGAUAUCAUAAUUGCCUGCGGGAGGGUGCUUGAAGAGCCUAUCAAGAAGGGCUUCGAAGGAGUUGGCUACAAACCGGAAGUGCGCAGUCUGAAAUUCUUUGAGGAUGACUAUGGAUUGAAGCUCGAGGGAGGCGAAGACGACGAGGACGAGGAUGGGGAUGAGGACGAGGAAGCCGAGGAAUCGGGGAGUGAUGACAGCAUGGACAACGAUGAUGAAAUGGCAAAUUGACAUUUACUUAUUGCAUGAGACCGAGUAGACUUCAACGUAACAGGGGAAUCAUAGAUGCGACUGGCACCGGCUAUACUGUUUUCAACGCAAGAAUAAACGCAUAGAUAGCUGUCUACGGAUUCUGGGUUUCUUCCUCAGCAUUUGACUAUCAAUCAAUCUACUAGUAAUCUUGAUAUGGCAAUUGACAAACGAACAAGAUAUGUGUGUUUGUGUAACAUGCAAGAAGGCCAGCUUGCAGGAACCAACCACCAACACCAGAC